rnacentral:rRNA from 1 species
CCUACGGGAGACAGCAGUGGGGAAUAUUGGACAAUGGGGGGAACUCUGAUCCAGCGACGCCGCGUGAGUGAAGAAGUAUUUCGGUAUGUAAAGCUCUAUCAGCAGGGAAGAAAGAAAUGACGGUACCUGACUAAGAAGCCCCGGCUAACUACGUGCCAGCAGCCGCGGUAAUACGUAGGGGGCAAGCGUUAUCCGGAUUUACUGGGGGUAAAGGGAGCGUAGACGGCGAUGCAAGUCUGAAGUGAAAGGCGGGGGCCCAACCCCCGGACUGCUUUGGAAACUGUAUGGCUGGAGUGCAGGAGAGGUAAGUGGAAUUCCUAGUGUAGCGGUGAAAUGCGUAGAUAUUAGGAGGAACACCAGUGGCGAAGGCGGCUUACUGGACUGUAACUGACGUUGAGGCUCGAAAGCGUGGGGAGCAAACAGGAUUAGAUACCCCGGUAGUC